rnacentral:lncRNA from 1 species
AGACCAUUCUAGGCUGGCGCCGCGGGGACCCGGAACACCCAAGGGCUCGUUCCUCUGCGCUCCUGAAGGAGCCGACACAUGACUGCUGCUCUCUGGACCCCUAGAACCCUCAAAACGACAAGGUGAGGAGUCCCCGGCCAGCCGCGGGCAGCGGGCGCGGGCCAAGGAGCAGGGAACUCACCGUGUCCUGCCCCGCAGAAAUGGUGCUACCCAGCUCACGCCUGGGCCUUGGAACUGGGACUUCUUCAAGUCCCCUCUAGCUCUGACUCAAGAAUAUGCUGCAUUCUGGAACCACUACACUCCUUGACUCAGGAAUCGGCUCUGGAAGGUGAGUGCGGGCACCCUUCCGGAAGCUUCCGGGGCCGCCCUGCCCGGUCCCCGCUCACACGUCCUGUCGCUCUCUGCAGGUCAAGCUACAGGAACGAGACCAGCCCGACAGCAAGACCGUCGGAAGCGAGCAGCACCCGCGGCGGCCGCCACCCCGCCUGGCGCCUCCGUCUCCGUGGCCACCCUGCCGUGGACAGGCGACCACCAACCAGCCUCCACGCCCCCACGCCCCUCACCCUCCUUCUCUUCUUCCUUUCCUCUGUGCUUUCAUUUCCUUUCUUUCCUUUCCCCUUUGCUCGGGACUCAAAGCCACCGUGACUCCGUUUCCCCGUCCCUCCCGAAUUCAAUUUGCACUAAGUCGUUUGCACUGGUUUGGAGUUCUGGGUCUGGCCUCGAGUCCCCGAGCGCGUGUGCAAGCAAGAUGCUGAGUGCCCGCGCCGUGCCCAGCGCCCACCUGCCGUCCAUCUCUGCCUGGGGGUGCCUGGGUGCGUCCGAGUGUGUGGGGCCCCACCCUCCCCUUGCCUAGUCUGGGAGC